UCCAAGGAGAGGAUCUUAACUGAGC
rnacentral:piRNA from 1 species